AUUGAACGCUAGCGGGAUGCUUACACAUGCAAGUCGAACGAGCGGCGGACGGGUGAGUAAUAUAUCGGAACGUGCCCAGUAGCGGGGGAUAACUACUGGAAACAGUGCUAUACCGCAUACUAUUGGAUGUGCCCAUAUGGGAUUAGCUAGUGGGUGGGUUAAAGGCUCACCAAGGCCACGAUCCCUAGCUGGUUUGAGAGGACGACCAGCCACACUGGGACUGAGACACGGCCCAGACUCCUACGGGAGGCAGCAGUGGGGAAUUUUGGACAAUGGGGGAAACCCUGAUCCAGCCAUCCCGCGUGUAUGAUGAAGGCUUCGGGUUGUAAAGUACUUUUGGCAGGGAAGCGGUAUCUGCAGAAUAAGCACCGGCUAACUACGUGCCAGCAGCCGCGGUAAUUC
rnacentral:rRNA from 1 species